AAGAAAUAGAGAAGAAAACGGAGGAGAGGAGGAAGAAGGGGCAGGCAGUGGGACAGGCAGUCGAGCUGGAUUUGUUUCUCAUUCGCUCUUGGCUCCUCUGGUGGAAAAAUCGAAGCGCUCCCCCUGGUACUGCUGAGGCGGAGAGGGUGAGCGUGGCUGGGAGGCUGUCCUGGCAGGGAAGUCCAGGGGCAGGCGGGGCCUGGCCGGGGAGAGGCUGCCCCCUGCUCACAACCCCCUUCCCAGCCCUCUUACUUCGACGUGGCUCUCUAGGCCCAGUGGGAAGUCCUGCCUCAGCUGAAGUGGAGGGGCCGGGCCAGGGAGGAGGUCGGACUGGGCUUGGGUUCAGCCUCAGGCUCGUAGCACCCUCCUUCCCUGGGCCUGUCUCUAGAGCAGUCUCCCAAGGGUGAUUUAAAAUCCCCCGAGGGUCUUCCAAGGAAGUGCUGUCAAGCUGCAGCAGGAGGGGGCCGAGUCAGACCUGGGACAGGCUUUCUCAGCAUUCAGACUUUGCCUAAGUGGGAGGUGAGCUGUGUACUAGGAGGGGAGGGUUCCACAGGCAACUGCUGGAUAUUUCCUGAACAUCCAGGGACAUGAGAAGCCUUUUCUGUACAUCAUCCCAUGUGGCCCUCACAGACACCCCAAGGUCAGUAUUAGCCAUCCCAUUUACAAAAAUUUUUUUAACACACACGGUUUUGCUCUGUUGCCCAGGCUCCAGUGCAGCGGCGCAGUCAUAACUGAAGGCACCCUCUAACUCCUAGGCUCAAGCAAUCCUCCUGCCUCAGCCUCCCAAGUACCUAAGACUACAGGCACAAGCCACCACACCUAACUCAUUUAUUUUUUUUGAGGAAGGGCCUCAUUAUGUUGUCCAGGCUAGUUUCAAAUUCCUGGCCUCAAGUGAUCCACCCACCUCGGCCUCCCAAAGUGCUGGGAUUACAGGGGUGAGCCACCAUGCCUGGCCCCAUCCCAUUUUACAGGUGAGGGACUUGAGGCUCCAUGAAGUCAGGUGCCCCACUCAAGGGGCUACACAGCCUCUACGUGGCAGGGCUGGGAUUUGAACCCAGUUGUGUCUGGCUCUUUCCCAAACACUGGAAAAGGCAGGCCUUUUUCCCCUCCACCCCAGGGCCCGGGAGCCCCUGAGCAGCUCCUGGGUGGGGCUGCCCCACAGGGAGACAGCCUUGGGGGAACCCAGGAGGUCUUUGGGCUGUGGCCUGUCUCUGUGGCACAGUGGGGUGCCUCGGGAGAUCUCCCCUCCACCUACCCUCCUCUUGUGGAGUUGGACCCACCCCCACCCCAUUUUUUCAGAGGGCCCUCACCCCAGCCCUCUCCAUCCCGGUGGAAAGAGGAGCCCAACCUCUUUCCCUCUGGAAUCCGCUGCCUCGGCUCUCCGAUGGAGAGACCAUCUGGAGUGCAUUAUGGGCAGAGGAGAAAGCCGAGAGCAGGAAAAUGUGAGUUGGCCCCAGCAGCUCCCGUCUGCAGGGGGGCGGCGGGGGCUCAGGGGAUGGGCCAACCGCUGCCUCCACCUCCCCAGUCCCUAGAAGGGGCAGAUAAGAGAUGUGCUCAGGAAAGGGUGGCCAGGAGAGGGCAGGGCCCAGGCCUCCAACACCCUUGCAGAGCCCAGUUUGAACCUGCUAAUCUUGCCAACCUGCCCAUUUCACAGAGAGAAGACUGAGGUCCAGAGAGGGGUAGUAACUUCCCCAGGGCCACACAGCAACCCUUUCACAAAUAUGCACAUGCCAGUGGGCACUGAAAGUCUCCAGUGUUGGGGGCAGGCGGAGUUAGCGCUGGGAGUGGGAAAGAGGCCGGGGUCAGCCUCCAGAGUAAAGUGAAGGCGCAAAGCCUCAUGCAAACAUCGAGGAAUGCCUUCAUUGUUUCGAGGUCUCUCUUCCUGGCCUCCCAAGCCCACUCCCUGCCCCAAGUGCCACCCUUCCCUGGCACCUGAUCCCUGAGGACGUUGGGUCCUGGGGUGGGGGCCUCUGGGCUCUUCCUCUGGGUCCCAGGAGCCCCCUCCCCACUCUGUGGCCCCAGCUCCAGACUUGGCAAGGCAAGCCGGAGUGAGGUUUCUCCACUCCCUCCCAAGUGCUGUGCUGGCGGCUCCCGAAAUAAAAAUCAAAUGUGGGCUUGGCAAAGGGAGCGGGGUGGGAGAAGCAGCGGCAGCAGGGCUGGGGCUUCAUUCUUUCCAUUGUAACUUCACCUCCUAACCUCUGGCAUUUUAAUUAUGUCUCCUACCCCCCUCACUCUGCCUGGGCCAGGGGGUGAGCUCACCCUUUCCUCUAGCCUGGGAGGGGGCAGCUGCUGCCUGGACCCCCAGUCCCCGGCCUGCUCGGGGGAAUCUGGGUGGCGGCCAUGCUGGGGGUGUCGGCCUCAGGCUCCCUCCAGCUUCUCCAGUCUCAGAGGGGCCUGGAGAGGGGCCCAGCCCCCAGACAGCCAGCCGACACCUCAAGUUCCAUGUGUGAAUCAUUAGUCUUCACACCCACUGCUCCAUUUAGUGGUGGCCACUGUCCUAAGGCAAGGCACGGCAGGCUCACCAGCCCAUUCUAUGGAUGACUUAGCCAUCAUCGUCUGCAGGGCCAAGCCUGGGCCCAGGCCUAUCGCUCCUGGUUCUGCACUCUUUCCAAACCCAGGAAGAGGGGCAAGAACAGCUCAGGCCUGAUAAUUUGCCUUAUCUCUUCGAGUGUCCGUUUUUUUCCAAUGUCUCCCCAAAUGCAUGUUCCAUCAGCAAACUCUGCCCCAGGCCUUGCUACGGCCUCUGCUCUGGUGGAACUUCCGGAUGAAGAGGGUGAGGCGCUAUUUACCAUACUGGGUGCUGUGAUGGGGGAGAUUAAGGUGACAGCAGCUCCGGGAAGGGGACUCCUGACCCAACCUCUGGUGUGAAGAGCAUAGAGAAGGCUUCCCAGAGUGAGGGGUGACCAGGAGGAGCCCGGGAGGAAGAGCAUGGAGGGCAGAGGGAGCAGCAUUUGCAAGGCCCAGAGGUAAGACAGUGCCUAGGGCAGGGCCCACGGGAGCAUCCGGCCUGGAGGGAGCGGCCAGGGUCCUGGGAGCUGCGCGAGCUGUUAGGGUGCAUCUUAGGAAGAUUUCUGGGCAGGCUGUGGAGGAUGGGUUGGAAGGUAAUCAGAACGGAGGUGGAGUGACCUCUUAGAAGGCUGCCACAGAGGCCCAGGUGAGAGGUGAUGGUAGCCAGGCCCAGGCCAGUGGCAGCCAGGUGGAAAGAGGUGGCCAGACUGAUAAGAGAUUUAAAAGGCAGAAGCCAGAGGACUUGGUGACUGAUGGGCAGAAGGAUGGGGGCCAGUGAUCUGCUCAGGCUGGCUCCUGGGCUUCUGAAGAAUGAAUGAACGAAUGAAUGAAUGAAUGAACAAACGAACUGGGAAACAGCACCAGAUCUGAAAGCCCCAGGUUUCAGCUUGAUCGUCGGGCUGGGGAGUUUGCUGCUGCACUUGCAUUUGGUACACCUGCAGGGCAUCCAAGUGGAGGUGCCCAUGAGAUGGCUGGACGCAUGGAGGUGCCCUGGAGAAGGUGGAGAGAGAGGAAGCCGGCACAGCCUGCAAAGAGGCCAGAGAAUGAGUAGCCAGAGCCCCUGAAGCCUCACAGGAGGAGGUCUUAGACAAGGCACAGCCAACAGUGCCAAUGGCAAGAGAUGAAGCAGAGACUCACCCAGCGCUUCCAGAAGCUGGGGCAAAGAGGAGCACACACGACCACCUGCCUACUGAGCAGCUCACACUUCCUCCAAUGGAGCCACCACAAGGAAAUAUUGCUUGCUUGGUGCUAGACAAGUGCCGAAGAUGCUGUGAGAGGCAGAUAGAAGUCCCUGCUGUCACGGAUCUUAAGUUCCAGGAAGAGACACAGAUAUAGAGUCGUGAACAAGUAAAGACUAAAAAUUAAAAUCAUGAUGGGGGAUGCCAUCAUGACUGGCCACUCUGAAGGCCGGGCUUGUGUCCUGUCUCCCCUCAGACUGAGGGCUCCCUGAGGGCAGAGCCUGUGCCUGCUCCAUCAGACAAAGGUAGAACCAGCUUCUCCAUCAGGCUAGAAGCACCCUGAGACUCAGGGAGAGGCAUGGAGCAUCUGGGAACAAGAGCUGAGGUGUCCUAGAAACCUCCCAGGAACAGACCCAGGGAUAGAAGUUGGCAGGCAACUGGCAAAGGACCCUCUUCCCAGCCAGGCCAAAUGUGGGAGGGCUUCCCUCUCCUCCUCCCCAUCCAGCCCCCGACCCCAUUAAACCUUUAAAUUAACUUCAGCUCCACCCCGAGCUAUAGAGAGUGCCCCAAAAUAAAUCCUAAAUUACA
rnacentral:lncRNA from 1 species